GACGAACGCUGGCGGCGUGCUUAACACAUGCAAGUCGAACGGAAAGGCCCUGCUUGCCGGGUACUCGAGUGGCGAACGGGUGAGUAACACGUGGGUGAUCUGCCCUGCACUUCGGGAUAAGCCUGGGAAACUGGGUCUAAUACCGGAUAGGAGCCCUUUUUAGUGUGAUGGUUGGAAAGUUUUUUCGGUGUAGGAUGAGCUCGCGGCCUAUCAGCUUGUUGGUGGGGUAAUGGCCUACCAAGGCGGCGACGGGUAGCCGGCCUGAGAGGGUGGACGGCCACAUUGGGACUGAGAUACGGCCCAGACUCCUACGGGAGGCAGCAGUGGGGAAUAUUGCACAAUGGGCGCAAGCCUGAUGCAGCGACGCCGCGUGGGGGAUGACGGCCUUCGGGUUGUAAACUCCUUUCGCUAGGGACGAAGCUUUUGUGACGGUACCUAGAUAAGAAGCACCGGCUAACUACGUG
rnacentral:rRNA from 1 species